rnacentral:rRNA from 1 species
CCUACGGGGAGCAGCAGUGAGGAAUAUUGGUCAAUGGGCGUAAGCCUGAACCAGCCAAGUCGCGUGAGGGAUGAAGGUUCUAUGGAUCGUAAACCUCUUUUAUAAGGGAAUAAAGUGUGGGACGUGUCCUGUUUUGUAUGUACCUCAUGAAUAAGGAUCGGCUAACUCCGUGCCAGCAGCCGCGGUAAUACGGAAGAUCCGAGCGUUAUCCGGAUUUAUUGGGUUUAAAGGGUGCGUAGGCGGCCUUUUAAGUCAGCGGUGAAAGUCUGUGGCUCAACCAUAGAAUUGCCGUUGAAACUGGGAGGCUUGAGUAUGUUUGAGGCAGGCGGAAUGCGUGGUGUAGCGGUGAAAUGCUUAGAUAUCACGCAGAACCCCGAUUGCGAAGGCAGCCUGCCAAGCCAUGACUGACGCUGAUGCACGAAAGCGUGGGGAUCAAACAGGAUUAGAUACCCCAGUAGUC